CAGAGGGCAAUGCCCUGGGCAGAAAGAGGAUGUGAAACUGUCACUUUUGGAAGUCUCCGAGGAGCUGAGCCUGUCUGGAGAAGCACCUGAAGGUGUCAAGAUGUCCAUGUGUCAAAAUGGCCUUACCACGAUAUUGUUCUUACAGCCAACUGGACGUGUUAAUGGGGGAAAGCAACGUGUAUAAUUUAUGACAAAAGUCAACGGGAAACAAACAAAGGGAACCGAGGCAUAAACAGGGUUUUAAUGAGACUGCUCAGCACACCAAGUGUGUACAUCUACAUAAUUUGGAAAGUGGCGCUGAGGAGAGAUAAGAGUAUAUAGCCCGUGACACGUGCAGGCCCUGGAGUGGAGCAGCUACUCUCCGUUCAGCAAGUAUUCUUGGCCACGAGACAUGGACCAGUGCUGGAGACUUACCAUGAGAGCACACAGAGUCCUCAUUCUGUGCCAGUUUCCAUUGCAGUCUGGAACGACAGAGAGCAAGCAGAUGAAUAUGUGUUUGACACACAUCUGAAGGCUUUUUUAGGAUUGUAGCUGACCUUGGGCAACCAAAACUUCAAGGAGUGGAAUAAUCGAGAAGGGGCAGUGGGACCUGGGAGACUGGAGCCGACUAAACUCUUGUGCAGUAGCCAACUUUAUUCAGAGCAUCAGACAAUUUAUACUCUGACGGUUAAGAAGAGUCGCAUGAAUGAAGUGUACAGCCACCAGCUGCAUGUGGCAAGAACACGGUUUCUUCAUGGAGGAAUAUCAACAAAUAACAAUAGCCGACUGUAAUGAAUAAUCGAAAGUAAACUCACUCCUAUCGUCUACACCUGAGAGGAGCAUGAAGGCACAUCCCAUGAGCAAUUUCAUGCUUGUGAAGACACGGAGACCGCACACCUCUUGUCUUGGUUCCUUCCUUCCUUCCUUCCUUCCUUCCUUCCUUCCUUCCUUCCUUCCUUCCUUCCUUCCUCCCUCCCUCCCUCCCUCCCUCCCUCCCUCCCGGAACUCACUGUACCCAGCAAGUGAAAGCUUUCUCUCUUCUUAGCAGUGACCCUCCCUUUUCUCAGCCGUAGGUAACCCUGGCUCUGCUUUCCGUCUGUCUGUACUUGCCUGUUCUUGAUAAGGAAUUAAAGG
rnacentral:lncRNA from 1 species